rnacentral:rRNA from 1 species
UACGUAGGGUGCGAGCGUUGUCCGGAAUUAUUGGGCGUAAAGAGCUUGUAGGCGGUUUGUCGCGUCUGCUGUGAAAACCCGGGGCUCAACCCCGGGCCUGCACUCGAUACGGGCAGACUAGAGUUCGGUAGGGGAGUCUGGAAUUCCUGGUGUAGCGGUGAAAUGCGCAGAUAUCAGGAGGAACACCGGUGGCGAAGGCGGGACUCUGGGCCGAUACUGACGCUGAGGAGCGAAAGCGUGGGGAGCAAACAGG